rnacentral:rRNA from 1 species
CGCCCUUGGGGGGUGCUAUACAUGCAAGUCGAACGAGAUCCAACCAGUGGCAACACCGGGGACGAUCUAGUGGCGAACGGGUGAGUAACACGUGAGGAACCUGCCCCGAAGACCGGGAUAACCCUCCGAAAGGAGAGCUAAUACCGGAUGUCCCCACCGGGUCGCAUGACCUGGUGAGGAAAUGGAUUCCGCUUCGGGAGGGCCUCGCGGCCUAUCAGCUAGUUGGUGGGGUAACGGCCCACCAAGGCAUCGACGGGUAGCUGGUCUGAGAGGACGAUCAGCCACACUGGGACUGAGACACGGCCCAGACUCCUACGGGAGGCAGCAGUAGGGAAUCUUGCGCAAUGGGCGAAAGCCUGACGCAGCAACGCCGCGUGGGGGAUGAAGGCUCUCGGGUUGUAAACCCCUUUCAGCAGGGACGAAUUUUGACGGUACCUGCAGAAGAAGCCCCGGCUAACUACGUGCCAGCAGCCGCGGUAACACGUAGGGGGCAAGCGUUGUCCGGAUUUAUUGGGCGUAAAGAGCUCGUAGGUGGCUGAGUAAGUCGGAUGUCAAAUCCCCAGGCUCAACCUGGGACACCACCCGAUACUGCUCUGGCUAGAGUCCGGUAGGGGAGCGUGGAAUUUCUGGUGUAGCGGUGAAAUGCGCAGAUAUCAGAAGGAACACCAGCGGCGAAGGCGGCGCUCUGGGCCGGUACUGACACUGAGGAGCGAAAGCGUGGGUAGCAAACAGGAUUAGAUACCCUGGUAGUCCACGCCGUAAACGUUGGGCACUAGGUGUGGGGUCUAUUCAACGGACUCCGUGCCGCAGCUAACGCAUUAAGUGCCCCGCCUGGGGAGUACGGGCCGCAAGGCUAAACUCAAGGAAUUGACGGGGGCCCGCACAAGCAGCGGAGCAUGUUGCUUAAUUUCGAGGCACGCGAGAUCUUUACCUGGUUUGACAUGUGGGAAAGCGUAGAGAUGCGUGUCCUUCGGGUCCACACAGUGUGCAUGAUGUCGUCAGCUCGUGUCGUGAGAUGUGGUAGUCCCGCACGAGCGCACCCUUGUCUAUGUUGCAGCGUCGUCGGGAACUCGUAGAAACUGCGGUCACUCGAGAAGUGGGAGACUCAUCAUCAUGGCCCUAUGUCAGCUGCAACAUGCUGCAUGCGUCACGGCCAUUCGAGUGGACAAUCCAUAAGCCGGG